rnacentral:siRNA from 1 species
AAACAAUUAUUAAAUGUCAGUGG